rnacentral:rRNA from 1 species
GAGUACGUGAAACCGCUUAGGGGUUAAGCCCGAUGAACCUGAAUAUCUGAAUUGGAAAAUUCAAUACUGUUGGCCUUAAAAACCAAUGGUAUGCACUUUUUCCAUAGUAGGACAUUGCGAUCCAUUAGUAUGUCUUUCUGAGACGGUUUAUCAAACGGCCCGUAUAGUUCAGUUUAGCCUAUCUGCAGUAUUUAUUAUUGUAUGGCUAAUGCUAUUGCGGUGACCUGGUAAACAGCUGAUGGAACUUUAAAAUCAUGCAACCAUGCAAAUGUAUCACGGUUUUUAUAUUUUUAAUAUUUGAAUGCAGUGAUCGCAUGUAUUUGAUUAGCAAUGCGAUAGAUUUGGGAUACCUUCGGGACCCGUCUUGAAACACGGACCAAGAAGUCUAACAUGUGUGUAAGUCAUUGGGUAUAUUGAUGAAACCUAAAGGCGAAAUUAAAAUAACUAUUUUAAUGGGAUUACAAGCAAUAUUCAAUGAUUGUUUCUCCAUCCCGGGGCGUUCUAUAUGAACAUGGUUCAAGCAAUUGGAUCCUCUGUUUGAGAGCGUACCUUGAACAUACAUGCUGUGACCC